rnacentral:rRNA from 1 species
UAGUUAGUUGGUGAUGUAAAGGCCCACCAAGACGAUGAUACGUAGCCGACCUGAGAGGGUAAUCGGCCACAUUGGGACUGAGACACGGCCCAAACUCCUACGGGAGGCAGCAGUAGGGAAUCUUCCACAAUGGACGAAAGUCUGAUGGAGCAAUGCCGCGUGAGUGAAGAAGGGUUUCGGCUCGUAAAACUCUGUUGUUAAAGAAGAACACCUUUGAGAGUAACUGUUCAAGGGUUGACGGUAUUUAACCAGAAAGCCACGGCUAACUACGUGCCAGCAGCCGCGGUAAUACGUAGGUGGCAAGCGUUGUCCGGAUUUAUUGGGCGUAAAGCGAGCGCAGGCGGUUUUUUAAGUCUGAUGUGAAAGCCUUCGGCUUAACCGGAGAAGUGCAUCGGAAACUGGGAGACUUGAGUGCAGAAGAGGACAGUGGAACUCCAUGUGUAGCGGUGGAAUGCGUAGAUAUAUGGAAGAACACCAGUGGCGAAGGCGGCUGUCUAGUCUGUAACUGACGCUGAGGCUCGAAAGCAUGGGUAGCGAACAGGAUUAGAUACCCUGGUAGUCCAUGCCGUAAACGAUGAGUGCUAAGUGUUGGAGGGUUUCCGCCCUUCAGUGCUGCAGCUAACGCAUUAAGCACUCCGCCUGGGGAGUACGUCCGCAAGGUUGAAACUCAAAGGAACGACGG